UUUGAGGAUAUAUAUAGUCUAGCCUGCUCACUGACAUAAAUGUUAAAUAGCCGCGGUAUUUUGACCGUGCAAAGGUAGCAUAAUCAUUAGUUUUUUAAUUGGAAACUCGUAUGAAUGGUUGGACAAAGAAAAAUCUGUCUCUUUUAUUAAUAUUGAAUUUGACUUUUAAGUGAAAAGGCUUAAAUUUUCUAGAGGGACGAUAAGACCCUAUAAAGCUUUAUAAAUUCAAUAAUUUUAUGGAUUUGAAAAAUAAAGGUAAUUUUGAAAAAUUUAUUUGGUUGGGGCGACAAAAGUAUAAUUAAAAUAACUGCUAGUAUAUUAAACAAUAAUUUUUGAUUAGAUUUAUAAAUGAUCCCUUUUAAGGAUUAAAAGAUCAAGUUACUUUAGGGAUAACAGCGUAAUCUUUUUUGAGAGUACUUAUCAAAAAAAAGGUUUGCGACCUCGAUGUUGAAUUAAAAUGUCUUUAUGGUGCAGCAGCUAUAUAAGAAGGUCUGUUCGACCUUUAAUUUUUUACAUGAUUUGA
rnacentral:rRNA from 1 species